CUUGAUGCUGGGAAAGAUUGAGGGCAAGAGAAGAAGUGGGCAACUGAGGAUAAGAUUGUUGGAUGGCAUCACCGACUCAGUGGAUAUGGGUUUGAGGCAAACUCCAGGAAAUCACGAAGGACAGGGAAGCCUGGCACACUGAAGUUCAUGUGGUUACAAAGAGUCUAACUCAACUCAGUGACUGAACAACAACAACAACUCAAGGUAAGGAAAUACUUGUCCAGAGAAGUUAAGCUAUUCGUCAGUACUACACAAUAUUUAAGAACACAGGCUCUGGAUUCAGACAAUCCUGCUGCCUACAUUGCAGAUUCUACCAUACUGGAUCGUGAGUGUGAGGGAAGGAAGAGAUCGUGCUGUGAAGAGAAGGAAGCUGGGCUGCUGAGAGUCCAUGGAAUGAAGAUGUCUUGCCAGCCCUAGAGACUGGCCUCCAGACUCCAUUUACAGGAGAGACAAACUUCAAAUUCAGUUAAGCACUAUCCUUUUGGCUUGUCACUUGUAAC
ensembl:lncRNA